rnacentral:rRNA from 1 species
GAUGAACGCUGGCGGCGUGCCUAAUACAUGCAAGUCGAGCGAACAGACGAGGAGCUUGCUCCUCUGACGUUAGCGGCGGACGGGUGAGUAACACGUGGAUAACCUACCUAUAAGACUGGGAUAACUUCGGGAAACCGGAGCUAAUACCGGAUAAUAUAUUGAACCGCAUGGUUCAAUAGUGAAAGACGGUUUUGCUGUCACUUAUAGAUGGAUCCGCGCCGCAUUAACUAGUUGGUAAGGUAACGGCUUACCAAGGCAACGAUGCGUAGCCGACCUGAGAGGGUGAUCGGCCACACUGGAACUGAGACACGGUCCAGACUCCUACGGGAGGCAGCAGUAGGGAAUCUUCCGCAAUGGGCGAAAGCUUGACGGAGCAACGCCGCGUGAGUGAUGAAGGUCUUCGGAUCGUAAAACUCUGUUAUUAGGGAAGAACAAAUGUGUAAGUAACUAUGCACGUCUUGACGGUACCUAAUCAGAAAGCCACGGCUAACUACGUG